rnacentral:rRNA from 1 species
GACGAACGCUGGCGGCGUGCUUAACACAUGCAAGUCGAACGGAAAGGCCCUGCUUGCAGGGUACUCGAGUGGCGAACGGGUGAGUAACACGUGGGUGAUCUGCCCUGCACUUCGGGAUAAGCCUGGGAAACUGGGUCUAAUACCGGAUAGGAGCCAUUUUUAGUGUGAUGGUUGGAAAGUUUUUUCGGUGUAGGAUGAGCUCGCGGCCUAUCAGCUUGUUGGUGGGGUAAUGGCCUACCAAGGCGGCGACGGGUAGCCGGCCUGAGAGGGUGGACGGCCACAUUGGGACUGAGAGACGGCCCAGACGCCUACGGGAGGCAGCAGGGGGGAAUAUUGUACAAUGGGCGCAAGCCGGAUGCAGCGACGCCGCGUGGGUGAGGACGGACUUCGGGUUGUAAACGCCUUUCGCUAGGGACGAAGCUUUUUGUGACGGUACCUAGAUAAGAAGCACCGGCUAACUACGUG